rnacentral:rRNA from 1 species
CCUACGGGGUGCAGCAGUGAGGAAUAUUGGUCAAUGGACGAGUGUCUGAACCAGCCAAGUAGCGUGAUGGAUGACUGCCCUAUGGGUUGUAAACUUCUUUUAUAUGGGAAUAAAAUGUUCCACGUGUGGGAUUUUGUAUGUACCAUAUGAAUAAGGAUCGGCUAACUCCGUGCCAGCAGCCGCGGUAAUACGGAGGAUCCGAUCGUUAUCCGGAUUUAUUGGGUUUAACGGUAGCGUAGGUUGAUUGUUAAGUCAGUUGUGAAAGUUUGCGGCUCACCCGUAAAAUUGCAGUUGAAACUGGCAGUCGUGAGUACAGUAGAGGUGGGCGGAAUUCGUGGUGUAGCGGUGAAAUGCUGAGAUAUCACGAAGAACUCCGAUUGCGAAGGCAGCUCACUGGACUGCAACUGACACUGAGGCUCGAAAGUGUGGGUAUCAAACAGGAUUAGAGACCCUUGUAGUC